CAGCCGCCGCGGUAAUACCAGCUCUUCAAGUGGUCGGGACUUUUAUUGGGCUUAAAGUGUCCGUAGCCGGUUUAGUAAGUUCCUGGUAAAAUCUAACAGCUUAACUGUUAGCUCGCUAGGAAUACUGCUUUACUAGAGGGUGGGAAAGGUUUGAGGUACUCUAGGGGUAGCGGUGAAAUGCGAUAAUCCUUAGGGGACCACCAGUGGCGAAGGCGUCAGACUGGAACACGCCUGACGGUGAGGGACGAAAGCCAGGGGAGCGAACGGGAUUAGAUACCCCGGUAGUCCUGGCUGUAAACGAUGCGUGCUAGGUGUUGGUAGGGCUUUGAGCUGUAUCAGUGCCAAAGGGAAACUGUUAAGCGCGCCGCCUGGGAAGUACGCUCGCAAGAGUGAAACUUAAAGGAAUUGGCGGGGGAGCACCACAAGGGGUGAAGCCUGCGGUUCAAUUGGACUCAACGCCGGAAAACUUACCGAGGGCGACAGCAGAAUGAAGGUCAGGCUGACGACCUUACCAGACAAGCUGAGCGGAGGUGCAUGGCCGUCGCCAGUUCGUGCCGUGAGGUAUCCUGUUAAGUCAGGCAACGAACGAGAUCCACGUGUUUAAUUGCCAGCAAUGGGCUUAGGCUCAGUUGGGAACGUUAAACAGACUGCCACCAUAUAGGUGGAGGAAGGAGUGGGCCACGGCAGGUCAGUAUGCCCCUAAUCCCUCGGGCCACACGCGGGCUGCAAUGGUAUGGACAAUGGGUUGCGACUCUGAAAAGAGAAGCCAAUCUCGAAACCAUAUCGCAGUUGGGAUUGUCGGCUGUAACCCGCCGACAUGAACGUGGAAUCCCUAGUAAUCGUGUGUCAUCAUCGCACGGUGAAUACGUCCCUGCCCCUUGCACAC
rnacentral:rRNA from 1 species